rnacentral:rRNA from 1 species
UACGAAGGGUGGCAAGCGUUACUCGGAAUUACUGGGCGUAAAGCGUGCGUAGGUGGUUCGUUAAGUCUGAUGUGAAAGCCCUGGGCUCAACCUGGGAAUGGCAUUGGAUACUGGCGACCUAGAGUGCGGUAGAGGGUAGCGGAAUUCCCGGUGUAGCAGUGAAAUGCGUAGAUAUCGGGAGGAACAUCCGUGGCGAAGGCGGCUACCUGGACCAGCACUGACACUGAGGCACGGAAAGCGUGGGGAGCAAACAGG